rnacentral:rRNA from 1 species
UACGUAGGCAGCAAGCGUUGUUCGGAGUUACUGGGCGUAAAGGGUGUGUAGGCGGUCUUCUAAGUUUGGUGUGAAAUCUCCCGGCUCAACUGGGAGGGUGCGCCGAAAACUGGGAGGCUAGAGUGCGGGAUGGGAGAGUGGAAUUCCUGGUGUAGCGGUGAAAUGCGCAGAUAUCGGGAGGAACACCAAUGGCGAAGGCAGCUCGCUGGGACGUUACUGACGCUGAGACGCGAAAGCGUGGGGAGCAAACAGGG